rnacentral:rRNA from 1 species
CCCUACGGGGCGCAGCAGGCGCGAAAACUUUACAAUGCGGGAAACCGUGAUAAGGGAACACCGAGUGCCAGCAUCAUAUGCUGGCUGUCCAGAUGUGUAAACUACAUCUGUUAGCAAGGGCCGGGCAAGACCGGUGCCAGCCGCCGCGGUAACACCGGCGGCCCGAGUGGUGACCGUUAUUAUUGGGUCUAAAGGGUCCGUAGCCGGUUUGGUCAGUCCUCCGGGAAAUCUGAUAGCUUAACUGUUAGGCUUUCGGGGGAUACUGCCAGGCUUGGAACCGGGAGAGGUAAGAGGUACUACAGGGGUAGGAGUGAAAUCUUGUAAUCCCUGUGAGACCACCCGUGGCGAAGGCGUCUUACCAGAACGGGUUCGACGGUGAGGGACGAAAGCUGGGGGCACGAACCGGAUUAGAUACCCGGGUAGUCCCAGCCGUAAACUAUGCUCGCUAGGUGUCAGGCAUGGCGCGACCGUGUCUGGUGCCGCAGGGAAGCCGUGAAGCGAGCCACCUGGGAAGUACGGCCGCAAGGCUGAAACUUAAAGGAAUUGGCGGGGGAGCACAACAACGGGUGGAGCCUGCGGUUUAAUUGGACUCAACGCCGGACAACUCACCGGGAACGACA